UACGUAGGCAGCGAGCGUUGUUCGGAGUUACUGGGCGUAAAGCGUGCGUAGGCGGUCUUCUAAGUCUGGUGUGAAAUCUCCCGGCUCAACCGGGAGGGUGCGCCGGAUACUGGGAGGCUGGAGUAUGGGAGAGGUAGGCGGAAUUCCUGGUGUAGCGGUGAAAUGCGUAGAUAUCAGGAGGAACACCUGUGGUGUAGACGGCCUGCUGGACCAUCACUGACGCUGAGGCACGAAAGCGUGGGGAGCAAACAGG
rnacentral:rRNA from 1 species